UCGAGAAUUUUUCACAAUGGGGGAAACCCUGAUGGAGCGACGCCGCAUGGAGGAUGAAGGCGUUUUCGUUGUAAACUCCUGUCAAACGGGAACAAGAAAGUGAUAGUACCGUUAGAGGAAGAGACGGCUAACUCUGUGCCAGCAGCCGCGGUAAUACAGAGGUCUCAAGCGUUGUUCGGAUUCAUUGGGCGUAAAGGGUGCGUAGGUGGCUUGUUAAGUUGAAGGUGAAAUCUCGGGGCUCAACUCCGAAACUGCCUUCAAUACUGGCGAGCUCGAGGACUGUAGAGGAGAAUGGAAUUCACGGUGUAGCAGUGAAAUGCGUAGAUAUCGUGAGGAAGACCAGUGGCGAAGGCGAUUCUCUGGGCAGUUCCUGACACUGAGGCACGAAGGCCAGGGGAGCAAACGGG
rnacentral:rRNA from 1 species